AUUUGGUGCUGGGGGCACUUGAUGCACAAUUCCUUGAAUCGCUCCCAAUACUCAUAGAGGAACUCGCUUGGGUGUUGCUUGAUACGGCAGAUCUCCUUCCUUAGACU